AUGAGGCAUGAGCCAUCUUUCCUUUUCAAAAAAAGCAUAGAGGCACAGGGAUACUAUAGAAACAGACGCAAAUGCGCUGGCCUUCGUGAUUCCACGACCUGGAAUCAUACCAGCCGAUGGUACCAUAUAACUGGAAUUAACCGAUGCAAGUCGAAGAAGGAUUGGCUGGUGCUGCCGGCUGGCGUCAAGUUCGAUCCCACGGAUCAGGAGCUGAUCGAGCACCUUGAGGCCAAAGUGAGUGCUGACAGCGCGAAAUCUCACCCUCUCAUUGAUUUGUUCAUACCAACCAUCGACAGCGAACACGGCAUAUGCUACACCCAUCCUGAGAAACUUCCAGGUAUCACACUAAGUGGCCUAAGCAAGCAUUUCUUCCAGCGCAAUUCCAGGGCGUUCAAAAGGGGCACAUGGAUGCGUUGCAAGAUACAGUCGAAGUGCGGCAUGCACGUGAUGUGGCACAAGACUGACAAUACCUUGCCGGUGAUGGUCAACGGCCGGCAGAUGGGCAACAAAAAGGUUCUGGUGCUGCACACCAACAAGAACUUCGACCAGUAG
rnacentral:rRNA from 1 species